UAUCCUCUCAUGAUGGCCACUGCUGGAUCUGAAACAUGUUGCGAAUUCUGAAAAAAUGGCAGGAGACCGUGGAAUUUUCAUUUUACCUUAAAUGCGAAGACUAUGAAUAAACAAUGUUAAGUUAGUGCACGGAAACAGUGAGUUUAACCGACAUUAGUGUAACCGAAGCUUAAUAAACAUGAGGUGCGCUUGACAGUGGCUAAACAGUAGAAGAUACAACGCGAAAAACAAGUUAAUGAACAAAAACGAAAAAAUAAUGGCUGCCAGAAAUGAAACGUCUCAGGAAGUACCGCAGAAAAAAAGUAGAACUACGUCAAAAUUGAGGCAAAUUACUGUAGUAGUUAACGACCUAAAAAAAAUAAGCGGAACUAUGAUACUUGAACCUGCCAAUGGGCAUGAAUACAUAGCUUUUGGUCGCAGUGUUGCUGCACAAUUAAUGACGUUAACUCCUCUUUCCGCCAUACAAGCACAGGAACACAUUUAGUCUGUUCUGACAAGUUUUAAACUACAAGACCUCCAGGCCCUCAUCUUCAAUUCCACCAAUGUAACUCGUGCAGAAUCAGUUGCCGAUAAUAUUGUACGAUCACAGAUAAUAGCAAAAGCUUUUUCCAAC